GACGAACGCUGGCGGCGUGCUUAACACAUGCAAGUCGAACGGAAAGGCCCUGCUUUUGUUGGUUGCUCGAGUGGCGAACGGGUGAGUAACACGUGAGUAACCUGCCCUUGACUUUGGGAUAACUUCAGGAACCUUGGGCUGAUACCGGAUAGGAUCUCCUGCUGCAUGGUGGGGGUUGGAACGUUUCGGCGGUUGGGGAUGGACUCGCGGCUUAUCAGCUUGUUGGUUGGGUAGGGGCUUACCAAGGCUUUGGCGGGUAGCCGGCCUGGGAGGGUGACCGGCCUCAAUGGGACUGAGAUACGGCCCAGCCUCGUACGGGAGGCAGCAGUGGAGAAUAUUGCACAGUGGGCGGGAGCCUUAUGCGGCAACGCCGCGUGCGGGAUGACGACCUUCGGGUUGUAAACCGCUUUCGCCUGUGACGACGCGUGAGUGACGGUAAUGGGUAAAGAAGCCCCGGCUAACUACGUG
rnacentral:rRNA from 1 species